AGCUAGUUGGUGAGGUAACGGCUCACCAAGGCGACGAUGCGUAGCCGACCUGAGAGGGUGAUCGGCCACACUGGGACUGAGACACGGCCCAGACUCCUACGGGAGGCAGCAGUAGGGAAUCUUCCGCAAUGGACGAAAGUCUGACGGAGCAACGCCGCGUGAGUGAUGAAGGUUUUCGGAUCGUAAAGCUCUGUUGUUAGGGAAGAACAAGUGCCGUUCAAAUAGGGCGGCACCUUGACGGUACCUAACCAGAAAGCCACGGCUAACUACGUGCC
rnacentral:rRNA from 1 species